rnacentral:rRNA from 1 species
UACGAAGGGGGCUAGCGUUGUUCGGAAUUACUGGGCGUAAAGGGCGCGUAGGCGGCUUAUCAAGUCAGGCGUGAAAGCCCCGGGCUUAACCUGGGAACUGCGCUUGAGACUGUUAGGCUUGAGUACCGGAGAGGUAGGUGGAAUUCCCAGUGUAGAGGUGAAAUUCGUAGAUAUUGGGAAGAACACCAGUGGCGAAGGCGGCCUACUGGACGGUAACUGACGCUGAGGCGCGAAAGCGUGGGGAGCAAACAGG